rnacentral:lncRNA from 1 species
AUGAUUUGUGUGUUUGAGCUGAAAUGUCCAGAUAACUUGUCUCUAAUCGGUUGUUCUGGCUUGUUCUUACUUUCCUUGAUGUUUGAAAAAGCUAUGAAUAUCAGUUCUGCUAGAGAAAAAGUUUUGUACUUGCCAAUCUUGAGAUACAUGUGCUUAACGAUAUAUAAUCUUGAGAUGACCGGAGACCGAACCGUUCCUACCCACGAGGCAAACAGAAGUGCGGGCCAGAAGAGAG